rnacentral:pre_miRNA from 1 species
UUUUAUGGAUGAGCAAAGAAAGUGGUUUCUUGAGAUGGGAUCCACUCCCGGUGGCAAUGCUAUGAG